GGUUCUUCUGAGUGCAGUGGUGUUUACACUGUGUUUACAUAGGGGUGUAGUUGAUCACAACCAGUUACAGAUUCCUUUGUUCUUCUCCACUCCCACCACUUCACUUGACUAGCUUUAA
rnacentral:Y_RNA from 1 species